GAAACCAUUGAUGGAAAUGGUCUU
rnacentral:snRNA from 1 species